UGGUGGAGUGAUUUGUCUGGUUAAUUCCGUUAACGAACGAGACCUCGACCUGCUAAAUAGUCUGCCGAAGCCUUUGGCUUUGUGUAGCACUUCUUAGAGGGACUAUCGGCUCCAAGCCGGUGGAAGUUCGAGGCAAUAACA
rnacentral:rRNA from 1 species